AGUGAACGCUGGCGGCGUGCCUAAUACAUGCAAGUCGAACGGAGUGGCGCACGGGUGAGUAAUAUAUAGCUAAUCUGCCCCUUGCUGGAGGACAACAGUUAGAAAUGACUGCUAAUACUCCAUAGCAAGGGAUGAGACUAUAUCGUAUCAGCUAGUCGGUGGGGUAACGGCCUACCGAGGCUAUGACGCGUAACUGGUCUGAGAGGAUGAUCAGUAAAAUUGUAACGGAGGCAGGGUCAGAGAACCUACGGGAGGGAGCAGAAGGGUGUACUGCGCAAUGGGCGGGACCCUGGCGGAGCAUCGCCGCGUGGAGUAUGAUACUUUUCGAAGAGUAAAGUCCUUUUGAUAGGGAAGCGGUACCUAACGAAUAAGCACCGGCUAACUCCGUGCCAGCAGCCGCGGUAAUAC
rnacentral:rRNA from 1 species